rnacentral:rRNA from 1 species
UACGUAGGGGGCAAGCGUUGUCCGGAAUUAUUGGGCGUAAAGAGCGUGUAGGCGGUCCGGUAAGUCGGCUGUGAAAGUCCAGGGCUCAACCCUGGGAUGCCGGUCGAUACUGCCGGACUAGAGUUCGGAAGAGGCGAGUGGAAUUCCCGGUGUAGCGGUGAAAUGCGCAGAUAUCGGGAGGAACACCUAUGGCGAAGGCAGCUCGCUGGGACGUUACUGACGCUGAGACGCGAAAGCCAGGGGAGCGAACGGG